CGAAAAGUGUAAGUGAAACACCAAGUCGAUUCUAUCUCGUCAGUUCUUGUUCAGGUGCUUACAUGCAAAACCUUAACCAAGGUGGGACGCUGUUGCUGAUAAAGACGCUUGGAUCCAGAAAUCAUCAGCAUGGACUUG